rnacentral:tRNA from 1 species
GGUCCUAUGGGGUAGUGGUAGCCCAUCUCCCUCUCACGGAGACGGCCCGAGUUCAAUUCUCGGUAGGACUG